rnacentral:lncRNA from 14 species
AUGAGCCUUCGAGACCGAGACUUCAUCUCGGAGCAGAAGUAUCAGGAAUGUCAAGAAACAUGUAAGAACCUGGUUCCAGUGGACAGAGUGGUGUAUGACAUCCUCAGUGACAUACAGAAGAAGUUUAGCCGGGAUCUUCUGAAAGUGAUAUUCAGCAACGUGCAUCUGAAGGCCUACCCUGACUUACAGGAGAUUCUAAAACACUUCCUAAGUGUUUCUGAAAAUCACAGGACUGUACAAAGGAUAAAUGGAAGAGAUGUUGAAGAGAGGCCCAGACUGCCAGCUGUCGUUAGGGAAGCAUCCUACAGUCCUGGAAAUACACAAAUGAGUGCUGGACAGGCAGAGGAGGUGCCCAGCCUUCCACAGUGCAAUGGAGGAGAUGAGCGAGACUUCACUUGCCAGUCAGCUGAGGGAAGGAGUUCUCCUGAACAAAUGUGUGAUGGACAAGAGCCUCAGGACAACCUGCCCUCCUCCCUGAGAUGUGAAGCAGGUGAGUGAGGGGAGCACUGUGUGCUCUGCAGGGUUCUUUCUGGAGGCUGAAUUCUGAACUGGGGUUUCUUGCUGUGUUUGCUCUGUUAAAACAUCAAAAGAACACAUGGCCAUAUUCGCCCAUGGCAUUCUGGGAAAUUUCAGGGAGGAAAAAAAUUCUUGAGAAAUAUGAAGGAGUAUUGUUUGCUGUUACAAAGAACAUGAAAUUAAGCAGACAUGAGGUCACCUAAAAUAUCUGGUUUAUAUAUAGUCACAUAUCACUUAUACUGAGGUGAAAUGGUGGGAAAUGCAUUAUGAGGUGACUUCUAUAUUGCAUGGAUACCAUAGAGUGCCCCACCACUGAAAAUCUUAGCUGUCCAGCUUCUGCUCAUCUCUGCCUAUGUUAUGUCUGUUAUAAAUGUGGUCUACCCUGGGCUAAAAUGUUAUCAUGUGCCACAUGAAUCUAUGCUCAGGAUGGUGUUUGAGAAGAAAGUGAAAAAUUCAAGCAUACUUGCUAGAACGCAUGUAGGAACAAUGAUUGGAAAUGUCAGAGGAGGGUGAAAUAAGAAUAAAUGGCUGGUUGUAAAAGAGGAAAGACACACACACACACAGAAACAGAGAGAGAGAGAGAGAGAGAGAGAGAGAGAGAGAGGAUCGUCGUCGAUGA